CGCCUCUUGAGCCCCUAUAAGAGGUCCAGCCUGCCCAGUGACCCUGUUCAACGGCCGCGGUAUCCUAACCGUGCGAAGGUAGCGUAAUCACUUGUUCUUUAAAUGUGGACUAGUAUGAAUGGCAUCACGAAGGUUAUACUGUCUCCUCUUUCUAAUCAGUGAAACUAAUCUCCCCGUGAAGAAGCGGGGAUAAAAAUAUAAGACGAGAAGACCCUAUGGAGCUUUAAACAAAAUAGCACUUAUCACACUAAAUAAAAAUUCCAGAAUUAUUAAAUCUCUGGGUAAUCUGACUAUAAGUUUUUGGUUGGGGUGACCGCGGAGCACAACAUAACCUCCAUGUUGAAAGAAAGUUUCUAAGCUAAGACCCACAUCUCUAAGCAUCAAAAUAUUGACAUUCAUUGACCCAAUAAAUUUGAACAACGAACCAAGUUACCCUAGGGAUAACAGCGCAAUCCACUUCAAGAGCCCCUAUCGACAAGUGGGUUUACGACCUCGAUGUUGGAUCAGGGUUUCCCAGUGGUGCAGCCGCUACUAAAGGUUCGUUUGUUCAACGAUUAAAACCCUACG
rnacentral:rRNA from 1 species